GCCGCGUUGGCGUAGUGGUAGCGCGUCGCACUUGUAUGCAAUGUUAAUGCGAAGGUCACUCGUUCAACCCGGGUACGUGGCA